AAAAAAUUUUGCAUCACUGUCAACCAUACCGAUUUUUCCAGAAAAACAAGAUGCAAUCAACUCUUCAAUUCAUAUUGUAUAUAACAAACUUCCUCCUCCGAUUCACAAGCUUACAAUGCGUAUUUACAUAAUCUACACAAGACUAAAUAGUUACAUACCUUUGGUGGCUUGAAUGGGUAGUCCGUAGGGAAAUGAAUGGACAAGAAGAAGACACCACCCGCAUAAGGGCUGUCAGCCUAUAUAUCAUGUUAGCUGCACAAUCCUAGCAAGCAAAAUUUUGGCAGUGCGCAAGGCACUAUUACAGCCGCGACUUACAGGACCCAUGAUUGUAGCUUGCCAAUGGAAUAAAUCAUCGCCAACAGGGCCGGCGGAACAAGAAGACGGUGGGUCUUUUCCAAGAUCAGCUAAUUCACGGUUAAUUCUUUUCAAAGCCAUCGUUACUGGUUUGCUUUUGCGAUUUUACAAAGUCAGUAGUUUGCUCGUGGAAGAACGUGGACGGAGGUAGAAAUAACAUAUAACCGAUGGAUGCACUAAAUCACACGAGUUCGACUUUGUCUGAGUAAGCAAUUUUUCAGGAUGGCGCAACUUGCUUUGUACCUGCAAAAUACCCGCUAAACAGUUUGUUAUCCUUUUAAGGAUACGCUACGUUACGAUAAAUUUUUUCGGGAUCCAGCAUACUAUUGUAUUACAAAUAGGGCAAAAUUAAAGAGAAUUACAGAUAUUAUAUUAUGGGGGCGGUAUUAUAACGAUUUAUCAAUAAAAGAGCUUGUAAGUGAACUGAAGAACGAGGAUCAGUUUAACUGACGACAUGAUGGCUAACUCAGAAACUAUUUUACUUGUGAAAUACAAUAUAGACUAUAUCAGUAUCUUCCCGUAUUUAGCGAAUAGAGAAACCGGACAGGCGAUAUUUGAUGAUAUGCGCCGUAGCGACCACAGCAGAAUACACCAUUGCUCAAAAUAUCGACAAAAUUGUUAAAUUACUAUAACGUAAAAAAUGAGCUUGCCGUUCCACUUUAAAUAUAUAGUGUUGAUCAUAUCUACUAACUUAGCUAAAAUUGACAAAGUGGUAAUGGGAGAGACUAAUGUAUAGCUUUGGUUUUAUAAAGUGUUACUUAAGUCACGUUAGAAAACUAGCUUAUAUCCACUGUGGUUAUUAUUUUCUGCCGGAAGCCAUUUUAUAGCAUUGCUUUAUUUGCUCUAGUUAUGCAUAACAAAAAAUAAAUUUGCACAAAAAUUUUUUGCCCA